UGGCGAUUAAGUAAUACCUUAAAAAUGAGAAAAUAUUUGUAUGCUUCAAUUCCCAUUAUAAUCUAAAAACUGCGUAUACACACUUACUUUUAUUCACUUGGCAAAAUGUAAAAUGACACUAUGCCUCACGAACACCGGGAAAAAUCAUACCGUUGCCUGGUCAGUUCCCAGACAAGCAACGAGAGUUUCGGAGAAAAGACCCUCCCGCACAAGAGUACCACUCACUAUGUAUGAGCCAGAGGGAGACUUAGUUUAUGUUGAUACAGGAACACCACACAGUGGAUUGGCCACCAUCUCCUUUCCUUGGUGGCGAUGCAGCUAUAUUACAUGGAUUUGAGCGAUAUAUGCACAACUUGGGCGCUCAAAACCGGGGAUAUAAUACUUGUGGUGGUUCCCAUCAAACUUUUAUGCAUUUUGGGGUGUUUGGUGGUUUUGUAUUGUUCCUCGAGUGCUCACUUAUCUCACAGACAUAGAGGCAUCUGGGCGGGCUUACUGUUAAACUGAAUGGAGGACUAGGGAGACUCUUCCGUGGAUAUACUCUGUCAAAG